GGAGAGAUGGCAGAGUGGUCGAAUGCGGCGGUCUCGAAAACCGUUGUCCCGCAAUCGCGGGACCGGGGGUUCGAACCCCCCUCUCUCCGCAA
rnacentral:tRNA from 1 species